rnacentral:rRNA from 1 species
CAUGCAUGUUUCCGCAAUCAGGGACGAAUAGCUCAGUAAAACUGCGAUGAUUUAGUCUGGCUGUGUAGAUAACUACGUGAAAAUGUAGCUAAGGGAAGGCAGAAUAAGACGCAGGACUAUCAGUUAGUUGGUAGUGUAAUGGACUACCAAGACAGUGACGGUUGACGGGAAAUUAGGGUUUUGUACCGGAGAGGGAGCCUGAGAGAUUGCUCCCACGUCCAAGGACGGCAGCAGGCGCGAAAAUUGCCCACUCUUUGCAGGAGGCAGUUAUGAGACGUGAAGAUGAGUAUCUUGUAAAGAGGGAUAGGAGAAUUGGAGGGCAAGUUUGGUGCCAGCAGCCGCGGUAAUACCGACUCCAAGAGUGUGUAUGAGAGAUGCUGCAGUUAAAAAGUCCGUAGUCAUAGAAGGGCAAAGAGAGAUGCGAGGUCUCACAGUGCGAUGAUGGAGGAGCCGAUGGGGAACAUAGUAUACCAGGGCGAGAGAUGAAAUGCCAAGACCCCUGGUGGACUGAGCGAGGCGAAGGCGAUGUUCUUGU